rnacentral:tRNA from 1 species
GUGGAUGUAGCUCAUUUGGUAAGAGGGCCUGCCUAGUGUGCAUGAAGCCCUGGGUUCAAAUCCCAGCGGCACA